AAUACGUUCUCGACAGAUUUUCACAUACAGGCUGCACAGACUGCAUGCAUUUUCUACGAACGUUGUUUCGUUGACGGACUGAAAAAAGCCGGCGUUAUUUGUUGCGAGACGUUCGAGAACCGCGGCGUUCUAUUAAAAUAAUACAUUUCGAUGUUACGCGGUGAUGAUUAGACGUCUAUUUCGGAACGUUUUGAAUCCUAAAAAGGAAAUAAAAACAAUUAAGUAGGGCUAAUUUAUGACGAAUUUAUAACACGGAGAAAGUGCUGGAGAAGGUAUAUUCGUGCAGCAAUACGAUGAUAAUGAUUGCCUACGAGCUAAUUUGUGCUGGUCGCCGUUGCGCAGCCUCCAUAGUCGAUGUCGAAAGAAACGUACUUAUGUAUUAUUAUGCAUGUUAUGCGUGUCGUCUCUACCGUCUAGACGUUGAUGUAUUAUUUUUACACAAGUUUCGUAUUAUACGAUGGGCCCAAAACCGUUUCCUAAUAUUAAUUUUGGAACGCGGCUAAUUGAUAUCCAUUGAAAAACUACAUGCAUAAUAAUAAUAUGCAAGUAAUACAAUGCAACGCGUUUCGUCUUGUACCCUGGAUAUUAUUUAUGUCGCUGGUACAUAAUUAUAAAUAGGAUUUAUGAUUUACGAUAU